UACGUAGGCAGCGAGCGUUGUUCGGAGUUACUGGGCGUAAAGGGUGCGUAGGCGGUCGCGCAAGUCGGAUGUGAAAUCUCAGGGCUCAACCCUGAAACUGCAUUCGAUACUGCGUGGCUAGAGUGCUGGAGAGGAGACUGGAAUUUACGGUGUAGCAGUGAAAUGCGUAGAUAUCGUAAGGAAGACCAGUGGCGAAGGCGAGUCUCUGGACAGCAACUGACGCUGAGGCACGAAGGCCAGGGGAGCAAACGGG
rnacentral:rRNA from 1 species